CAAUGGGCUGCCCACACAAGCCAAGGCCUGGAGUGCUGUGGAGCUAUGCAGAAAUUCGCUACACAAGCUAGAAUAGUACCUGCCUAAUCUAAUCUUUACCAGAAGCCCCAAGUUCAAAGCAGGCCCUUUUUAAAAUGUGUACCCUCUUUUGUAGUUCUCUCUGUAACUCUUUAUUUUCUUUAUUGCACUUAAAAUUAGAAAUGCAGCAAUCCUUAGCAGGACCACCAGGAAGCUCUAGCUUUCUUAUGCAGAGUGUAGUUCCCAUCAAAUCUAAAACCACCAAGAGGACCACAGCUGUCAUUCUCACGCCUUGCUGAGACACCUUCUGCUGUGACCUUGUCAGCCAGCCUAAGUUGCCUUGGCCUCACCAGUUGGCAAUUCAGUUUGCUUUGUUACUCAGCCCCUCUUCUCAGGAUGUGUGGUUUCCCCCAGUCUCAGCUCUCAGGCUACAGGGGAUAGAGGUUCUUUCAGGGAAGAGAAAGGAAAUUUUAGGUUGCUUAUCUUCGGUCAGGAGGUCUACAUGUUCUUCCUCAACAUUUGACUGUUGUUUAAAGAUAAACACUUUGUUUUCUUUUAUUAAAGAUGUAAUUUUCAGGCCAACACCUGUUGACGCACACACUGCGGGGGACGCGGACCCAUUCUCUGAACAGCAUUGAACUUACGGAGGCAGAGAUGGCGGCCCAGGCCAAGAAAUCUGGUUCACGGUGUCUGUGCCCCAGGCCCUCAGGUGCGCCCGCCGGCUCCGCGGCUCCUCUCCUGCCACAGGGAGGCGGCUCAGCGCUCAGCCCAAGGUCCACUUCGUGAUCGAGGACCUGGGUGUUCUUGAAGUUUUCAGGGACCAUCCAGGAGCCUAGGUGGUAGUGGCAGUGGCUCCAAGAACCAACAUUCUAAACUGCAAAAACUCUCCUACGCUCUUACUGAGCACAGUAACUUUGAGAUUCUUCUCAGAUUG